rnacentral:lncRNA from 1 species
GUUUGCAUGAUUCUGAUUACUUUUGAAGUCUUCUUCAGCAAUGCCCCAUCCAUAACCCCAGUUUGCAUGAUUCUGUAUACUUUUGAAGUCUUCUUCAGCAAUGCCCCAUCCACUACCCCAGUUUGCAGGAUUUUCUUUAUUUUUGAAGUCUACUUCAGCGUCGCCCCAUCCACAACCCCAGUUUGCAGGAUUUUCUUUAUUUUUUAAGUCUUCUUCAGCAGCGCCCCAUCCACUACCCCAGUUUGCAGGAUUUUCAUUAUUUUUUAGGUCAUCUUCAGCAUCGCCCCAUCCAAUGCAUGCAAGCGACUGAUCUAAAAGGA